UGAAUAAGAAGAAAAAAUAGAUGUAAAA
rnacentral:sRNA from 1 species